CCUGCCCAAGUGACAAGAUGGAAAAGGGCAGCAAGGGCAUGAAGGAGAAAUGAGUGGAGUCACCAGAAAGCCUGAGAAAUGUGAAGGUCCUCCUCAGUGGGCAGCCUGACUCGGUCACAUACAACACCCCACGAAGAGCUCAUGGGUUUGGUGACAUAGUUUCCUCCUCCCAGCUCAAGCCUAGACAUGAGCCAGGAUGUGUCACUGUCUUGCUCUAGCUGGUUUAUGUUUCUCCUUAAUCAGUGAAAAUGUUACCUAGCUAAAUGGGAAUGAGGAACAAACUGUACCUAUCACCAGAAAAGCUCCCUCGAAAACAGUUUCCAAACAUAUGCAUGAGAACGCUAGUCUAGUUUUCAGAAGAGCUGGAGGCUGACUGGCAAACCGUUCCACCCGUGAAGCAAUGUUGAUCCCAAAUUCCUGCCUGCUCCUGUGAAUCCCAGCUAGACUUAAGAUUGGAAUGCUGAGGAGGCUGCAGAAACACUUCC